rnacentral:rRNA from 1 species
GACGAACGCUGGCGGCGUGCCUAAUACAUGCAAGUAGAACGCUGAAGGAGUAGCUUGCUUCUCUGGAUGAGUUGCGAACGGGUGAGUAACGCGUAGGUAACCUGCCCGGUAGUGGGGGAUAACUAUAGGAAACGAUAGCUAAUACCGCAUAAGAGUAGAUGUUGCAUGACAUUUGCUUGAAAGUUGCAAUUGCAUCACUAGCAGAUGCAGCUGCGUUGUGUUAGGUUGUUGGUGGGGUAACCGCGCACCAAGGCGGCGAUACAUAGCCGAACUGAGAGGGUGAUUGGCCACACUGGGACUGAGACACGGCCCAGACUCCUUCGGGAAGGAGCAGGAGGGAAUCUUGGGCAAGAGGCGGAAGUCUGACCGAACAACGCCGCGGGAGGGAAGAAGGUCUUCGGGUCGUAAAGGUCUGUUGUAAGGGAAGAAAGAGUGUUAGAGUGGAAAGUUGCGGCUGUGACGGUAUCUUAACAGAAAGCAACGGCUAACUACGUG